UUUGUUUUCUUUCAUGUUUACAUUUGAUUAACUCACAAUUUGUUCACAAUUUAAUUACUCAUCGAUUUUAAUUUAUUAAUCAUCAAUUGGUAUUCCGUAGAUUGUUGAUUGGCAAGUUAAUUCUUCUCAAUUUCUGUCAUCUUAAUCAUCUCUCUUGUGUCUUAAUCAUCAUCACAAUUUCUGAGUGUUUUUCAUUUCUCUGGUUAAUUGGUUGUUGUAAUUUCUCAGUUGUCACAAUCAUUAUGAUGGAUCCAGAGAUAAUUCAAGGUUAACUAUUACAAUAAUUUAAUCCAAAUUAAGAAUUAAUCCUUUUGUUCAUCAUGGCAUCACAAUCAAUUCAAUCUCAAUGGUAAUUUACUUAUGGAUGGUAACUGAUGUUUCCACACAUGGACAAGUAUUCAAAACACCAUGAGGGACAUGAUUUAUAUCCCCUGAGAGAGUAAUGUUCAGAGGAACAAGGGGAAAAAGCUAUGAAACUGGUUGAUGACUUGGCAAAUAUUGAUGGAGAUCAAAUGAGUAAAUUACUAAUUAGUCAGAGAAAAGCGAUUGUGGUUAAUUUUGGUAAUUUUCUCAACGACGCCUGAAAAAAAAAGUUGCAACAUUUAAAAAGAGAUGAAACCAUCCGGAUAUCCGGUUGAUUCUCAGAGAUGAGGUGAUGUGUUAAUCAUUGAAGUUCAAAGGGAGAUAUUGAUUAUCAAGGAAGGAUUAUCAUUAAGGGUUUUACAUUCAUUGGAUUGUGUUUACUUAAUUGCUCAAGGAUUCUAAUGGUUUUACCAUAUGAAAGUUACAACAUGAUUAACUUAUCAUCAGUUACAUUGAAUAUGGUUCAUUCAAUUUAUGGAUUUCCUUUCCAUAUACAUUUGGGAUUAAUUCAAUGGCGAUAAAUAGUCAACACCAAUCAAGGUGUAUUUAUGGUGAAACAGAGACAUGGUUAACCAUAAUACGGAUGUUCAAUUACAAUAAUUAAUAUAAUUACUUGGGCGUAAAUGGUAACAUUGACCAGGGAAACAAGGAGAAAAUGUUAAAUUGUUGAUACAAUUACAGACAAUUUAUGGUUAAUGGUUGGACAAUUAAUAUAAUUGUCAACUGAUAUUUAGAUUAGAUUGGAUAUAUUAUUAACCUGAAUAAGUUAAUUGUUGUGGAAACCAAAUAGUUUUUAUUUUAUCACAGUUAAUGUAACAUCUUAACAUUUAAUUUACUUUACAAGAUUCAAUUAACAUUUGAUUGUUGAACAAUCAAUUUUACUAUUAUUAAAUUUAAUUGCUCUUCUUUAAAUAUAUUCAUAUUGAAGAUGAUUAAUUAAAUUAUAUUCACAAUGAUGAAAGGGGUGGGGUAGUAAUUAAGCUUUUCAAGUUAACAAUUAACUUUGGUUAAGGUUCAAGAAGAUUAUAAUUGAUGAUUGACAAUUUAAAUAAAUAUAAGUUUAAUUUAAAUUUACUGAUGAUUAGCAUUUGGGGAAAGUAAAGUAAUUAAAUCAUUUAAAGUGAAAUUUACUUUGAUUUAAUUUUAUUCUAACAGUUAUUGUCAUUAUUUUCACUAUAAUUGUAUAAGAAAACAAAAAAAAAUUUUGACAACAAUUAGAAAACCGUUAAUCAAGUAUUAGGACAAUUAACGUGAUUGUUAUAGUAAAUUAUUGACAAUCAUUUAUCAUGAUAGGUAAAAAUAUCGAUCGUGUUGAUUGAUAAAACUCACGAACUCGGUCAGAAUCGCGACAAUUAAUAUUGAUUCUGUUUGAUGAAUUUUAAAUCAACUUCUCUUAAUUGUGAUUAACACACUAAAUGAUCAACUUUUUUUCUUAACAAUCAUUUUCAUGGAUUAUUGAGAUUCAUUGAACCAUCUUAACAAUUGAUCACCAUUAUGUUGAUACGAGUGACAAUUUAAAUUGUUAGUGCAACGAAAACCAAAUAUUAAUAUAAUAGAUUUAAAAUUGUAAUCAAUACUUUAAAUUACAAUUAACAAAACAAUUAAUAUCAUAGGAAAAAGUAAAACAAAGUUAAUUGGUAACAAUUUAAGAUAAUUGAUAAACUAUUAAUAAAUUUCUAAUUGUUAUUUAGCAAAAGUAAGUAACCAAAAAAUUGAUUAGAGUAAUUAAAUGAUAUUUAAUUGAUUGUUUGCCUUUUUUUUGAUUGAUUAUGAUUGAUGAUGAAAAUACAAUUUAUCAUUGAUCACAAUUAACACAAUUGACACACAAAUUAUUUGAUGAUUAAUAUUUAAGUUAAAAAUAAUCAGCUGAUGUUUAACUAUUAAUAUAAAAAGGGUCAUUGUCAAUGAUUAACUGAAUGUCAAGUGUAAUAGGAAACAAUUAACUGGAUUAAUUGCAAUUAGAACGUGAUUGUUAAUGAUGAACCAGGAAUCUAAUUUGUUUUUGUCACAAGAACGUGAAUGAUUAAGGUUAUGAUUUAAAGAUGGAAACAAUUACCUUUAAACUAAGUGAUAGAUUAACUUGUAAGAUUAAUUGUCGACAGA